rnacentral:rRNA from 1 species
UACAUAGACCUCAAGCGUUUAUCCGGAUUUACUGGGCGUAAAGCGUGCGUAGGCGUUCUUUUAAGUCGACGGUGAAAUCUCCGGGCUCAACCCGGAAACUGUCGUCGAAACUGGAAGAAUUGAGUAUGACAGAGGCAGACGGAAUUGAAGGUGUAGCGGUAAAAUGUGUAGAUAUCUUCAAGAACACCAGUGGCGAAGGCGGUCUGCUGGGUCAUCACUGACGCUGGAGGUAACGAAAGCGUGGGUAGCGAACGGG